ACGAACGCUGGUGGCGUGCCUAACACAUGCAAGUCGAGCGAGGCAUUUAUGCCUAGCGGCGGACGGGUGAGUAACACGUGGGUAACCUGCCUCAGAGAGGGGAAUAGCCUUCCGAAAGGAAGAUUAAUACCGCAUAACAUAUACUUUUAGCAUUAUGAGUAUAUCAAAGGAGAAAUCCGCUUUGAGAUGGGCCCGCGGCGCAUUAGCUAGUUGGAGAGGUAACGGCUCACCAAGGCGACGAUGCGUAGCCGACCUGAGAGGGUGAUCGGCCACAUUGGAACUGAGACACGGUCCAGACUCCUACGGGAGGCAGCAGUGGGGAAUAUUGCACAAUGGGGGAAACCCUGAUGCAGCAACGCCGCGUGAAUGAUGAAGGCCUUCGGGUCGUAAAGUUCUUUGAUUGGGGACGAUAAUGACGGUACCCAAAAAACAAGCCACGGCUAACUACGU
rnacentral:rRNA from 1 species